rnacentral:rRNA from 1 species
CCAAUAGCGUAUAUUAAAGUUGUUGCAGUUAAAAAGCUCGUAGUUGAAUUUCGGGAUCAAUAUGUUGGUCGUGCCUUUGGUACGUACUAGUUUAUUGGUUUCUUCCUUCUGACGCACCAUGAUGUCAUUAAUUUGGUGUCAUGGGGAAUCAGGACUGUUACUUUGAAAAAAUUAGAGUGUUUAAAGCAGGCUUCACGCUUGAAUACAUUAGCAUGGAAUAAUGAAAUAUGACGUUUGAUUCUAUUUUGUUGGUUUCUAGGAUCGACGUAAUGAUUAAUAGGGAUAGUUGGGGGCAUUAGUAUUCAAUUGUCAGAGGUGAAAUUCUUGGAUUUAUUGAAGACUAACUACUGCGAAAGCAUUUGCCAAGGAUGUUUUCAUUAAUCAAGAACGAAAGUUAGGGGAUCGAAGACGAUCAGAUACCGUCGUAGUCUUAACCAUAAACUAUGCCGACUAGGGAUCGGAUGAUGUUAAUUUUUUAAUGACUCAUUCGGUGCCUUACG